UGCCAGCCGCCGCGGUAAUACGUAGGGUGCAGGCGUUAAUCGGAAUUACUGGGCGUAAAGCGUGCGCAGGCGGUUUCUUAAGUCAGAUGUGAAAGCCCCGGGCUUAACCUGGGAACUGCGUUUGAAACUGGGAGACUUGAGUGUGGCAGAGGGGGGUGGAAUUCCACGUGUAGCAGUGAAAUGCGUAGAUAUGUGGAGGAACACCAAUGGCGAAGGCAGCCCCCUGGGUCAACACUGACGCUCAUGCACGAAAGCGUGGGUAGCAAACAGGAUUAGAUA
rnacentral:rRNA from 1 species